rnacentral:rRNA from 1 species
AGCCGCGGUAAUUCCAGCUCCAAUAGCGUAUAUUAAAGUUGUUGCAGUUAAUAAGCUCGUAGUUGGAUUUCUGUUAAUAAUUUAUAUAUAAUAUUUAACAUAUUUAUAUAAUAUUAACAUAAUUCAUAUUACUAUUUAUAGUAUAUGAAACUUUACUUUGAGAAUAUUAGAGUGCUUAAAGCAGGCUUUUGCCUUGAAUACUAGAGCAUGGAAUAAUAUUAAAGAUUUUUAUCUUUCUUAUUGGUUCUAAGAUAGAAAUAAUGAUUAAUAGGGACAGUUGGGGGCAUUUGUAUUUAACAGUUAGAGGUGAAAUUCUUAGAUUUGUUAAAGACAAACUAAUGCGAAAGCAUUUGCCAAGGAUGUUUUCAUUAAUCAAGGACGAAAGUUAGGGGAUCGAAGACGAUCAGAUACCGUCGUAGUCUUAACCAUAAACCAUGCCAA